rnacentral:lncRNA from 1 species
UGCAGAUCAAAGCAGAACAGGGUUCAUUGCUAAGAUGCUGUUUGCCUCUCCCACAGCUGAUGGUUCUUUCUUGGAUUUUCCUUGCCAGUAGUUUACUCUUUUAGGUUCUAAACAGUUUGUUUUUAAAAGUCACAAAACAGGUAUAACACCUACUAUUGCAAUAGGGCAAGCAUUAAUUCUCAUUGAAAUGUUUUUAAUUUUGGACAUAGGAUGCCCUCUUUUUAACUAUGAUUUAAAUCUAAGCCUCUAUAUAGAGCUUAGGCCAAAGGCCUUGUCUGGACAGAUGACUAAUACAUCACUUGUUCUCUCUCAAAGCAGACAGAUGAUCUGAAAGGAUGGUGUGUAUAGUCUGAGACUAUUAAAUUUGAGUCCAGCAAUAAAAUCCAGUUUAAAUGGUGUGACCAUAUGACAUGGUUCAGCCAGCAGAAUGUUGAGUGGAAGCGAUGUAACUUUGGAGGCAAAGAUGUAAGAGCCAGUGAGUGGUCUGCCAUGUUGCCUUCCUACUGCUGCAGAGAUCUUGGAAAUUCCUGGCAAGAUGAAGCCUCCAUCAUCUGGGUUCCUGGGGAACUCUGAUCAGCCUCUGCUGACCCAUGUUAGACAUGCAGUGUCUCCUUCCAGACACAACUGAGCUCAACAAAUUGGUGCUGAGUGACUGAGAGAGGCAUGUAGUCCUAGCCCCAGCUUUGACUGUAAUCAGCUGUGUCGACCUUGUUCAAGUCAGCCCUCUGGGCCUCCAUCCCCUCACCAGGAGAAUACUGGUCAUUUUAAUAAAUGGACCCAGCAACUAGGUGGUCACUAUUUUUAGCACGGAGGUGAAGACUGUAUCUGUUGGUAGGGGUAGGGGCUAAGUGGAAUAAGGGUUUCAUUUCUCAGGAAAGCACAUUAGCCAGUGAGGGUCUGUUGGCAUCUGACAUGUUGACAAGUUCUCUUGCAUAGAACUAAUAUUCUUUGGGAUCACAUAUGGAUUGCAGUGAGGAAAGGAUGAACCUGUACUCUUUCUGUACCUGAUGAUCAACUGAAAUCUCUCUCCCUUUGACUCUGCUUAGUUGCCCCAGUUGAAAGGUUUUGGGUCAGCACAGCUUAUCUCUAGAAUCACAGUGACUUCUGGGCCAGGACCACUUCAAGGAUUUAGGUAUGUUCUGGGCUAGGGCAGUAGAAUCUAUUUUGGGAUUUCCCAGAGCCAUUCAAAGCUUACCCCAGAAUGAAUUCAAACUCUGAGAGGACAUAUCCUCUCCCCGCCCCCGCACCCCCCCCCCUUUUUUUUUUUGAGGAAGAUUUUAAAAAGAGUUGUUGAAGCCUAAUGAUUAUCAGGGGUAUGAGGAUUAUCAGGGGUAUGAGGGUAGAAUGAGAGAGACAGAGAGAG